CAAUUAUUUCAUUCUCUUGUUCUCUGUUCUUCUAGUUCCUCACUUCUUCGCAAAAUCUCUGUUUUUCCCCUUUUUUAUAACAUGAAAUAAUUUAGAAAAAGAAAUGAUCUUCUGAGAUAAUCUUCCAAGGGCCCACUUAGAGGCGAGUCCCAUGGGUGACGAAUCCACCACCAGAGUAGACCAAGGGGCCGCCAUCAGCUGCCCUGUCCAACGGCCACAAAACAAUCCUUGCAAACGUUGUGAAGACCGCGUUCUCUCCUCUGAUGAGCGUUAAUGGCAACAUCUUUAGGGCGGCGCUCUUACUCUGCUAAUCAAAUACUUCACGAAGCAGUCUGAGCUUGCAGUCGCGGUCGCGGUCGCUAAGGACAACAGAACCAAGACGGCCGCAGAGGAUAGCGAUGCCAACACUAAUGCACUGCCAAUAGAUAGAGCAAUCCUCUAGCUAUUCCCUCAAUUAUGGUGAAGCGCUUUCUCCAAUCUAAGGAUUUAUGUUUUGAUGGAUCUGCAAAAGAUUGUUCAAGUAAGAUGUGAUGAAAGUAGAUGGUCAUAAGAAGACAAUUUACUCACUUCCUGCAUUAUUAUAGUAGGUGGUGGUAUAUUUGCUAUGCGAGGCAAUUACUUGUAUAUUAAUAAACCACUUUAAUUGUUCAUUGACUCCAUUGAACUUGCACAUCAAGAGAUACAAAACCUCACAUGAACUUAUAAAAUUGGGAAGUAUUCCUACAAAUGUCAACAGAGUGGUGACAUAAGGUAAAAUAAAAUUUGAAGUACCAUACUUUUACUUCUUUAGGUAUUCAUAGACAAUCAAGUUUUCAUUUUUCUCCUCCAUUCAUCCUAUGCAAAGCAUAUAGAAACAUCCAUUUAGUAAACGGUGAUAUGCAUGGAGGAUUGGCACUAACCAAAUAUGUAUGUAUCCAAACUUUUGUUUGGCAUGCAUUCAUAAACCAAUAUCUCUUCUUCAAUGCAACAUCCAAGAAGUUUAACAAGGUUUCAGUGUUGAAGCUUAGAGAUCAACUCCACUUCAUUUAUAAAUUCAUCCAUACCCUGUCCUGAUAGUCUUGAUAGUCUUUUUACUGCUAUUUCCUGCCCAUCUUCCAAUGUCCCCUGAAAUAAGAUGAUAAAGAACAUUAAUUUCUUAUGAACUGAAGGAUUAUAAAGUUCAAAAAGAAUGAAAAUCACCUUGUAAACUGGACCAAAACCACCCUGCCCAAGUUGAAGUGAUAUAUCAAAGUUAUUUGUUGUAGUUUCCAACUUUCUCAAAGAAAACAAUGAUAGGUCUGGAACAUGGACUUGCUUCAGGGGCAUCAUCCUUGUUUUGUAUUGAUUCUGCAUCUGUGUUUCCCCUGAUUUUCACACAUUUCCCCCAUUUUAUUUCGCCGAAAAACAUAUAUUGCUAUUCUAAUACUAGGUUCCAAGAGCUAUGAGUUAACUAUAUGAACUUGUCGCACAUUCUGUAUCAAAAUGAUGGAACUCAAAAGUUCGAGAGAUUAUCUACGAUCACAAAGCUAAGAUUGUACCCAAUCUAAAUAACCACAGAGAAGAUCACUCAUCCUUUGAAUGAACCCUUAUAGUCAACGUGAAAAUUACCUUUUUGGUUUGAGCAUUUUUUCCAUAAGAAAUAUCCAGACACCAUAAUGAGAAUUGUUCCUGUCAAAAUUGAUAUUAUAAUAGGCGUUGUCAUCUUCCUCUUGCCUAUGCCUGUAUCAAAGAAAACAACAUUCAGCGAGCUUUCAUUUUCUGGCAAUAAUUUCAUCACUAUACCACAUAUAUUGUCAUCAACAGGCUAUAAAGAAAUUAAAAAAACAAAUAAAUAAAGCUCUUCGUGUAUUUGUCAUGACAUUUGUUUUGCAAAAACAAGCACCACGCUAGUUGACUCCUUGAAAUAAAAUUGCUCCCACAUUUUAUAAUACUUUUGAAGAAUCUUAAAAAUAAGUUAAGAAGUAACAUUGCUCUCAAGGAUGUUUAACAUGACAUACAUAUAAACAGCCAUGCAACGAAAUAUAUAGUGCUUAGUGAAAUUUAAAGUUGAACCAAAUCCUAGUUGAGUGUUGAAGACAUGUUGGACUGUAAACAAGUGUGUUCUAGGGUAUUUUAAAGCGCUUUCUCUAAUUAAUAUACAUACCUAGUUCUGAGUGGGCUAAACGUAUGUAAACAUCAAUCCCUCCGUCUGGGAAGUUUUGUAUGUCAAGUAAAUCUGCAUUCCAAAUCAUACAGCCAAGGUUUCUUUCAUGGGCAUAAGCGAUACAAGAGCAAUUCUUGAGGCAUGUAGUUUCACAAUCUAUAGUAGCCUCAAAGUAAGAAGGUAACACUUACACAUCAUCUGGUAAUUUCACUCUCUCCAGCAUCCAAAAUCCAUCUAUUUUGCUAGCUUGAGAAUCAUUUUUUUCUCUCACACACUGAAGUGCUUCUCUUCUGACACACCCACCGGUCCAGUUCUGCCUUCCCCAUUCUUCUUUGUUCCUUGGUUCAAACCCUCUCAAGCAGCUGCAAAUUGGGAAGCUCUGCCAAUUACAAACCCCGAAUGGACCACAUGUGCCAUAAACAUCACACUUUGAAGAACCAAUUAUCCUCAAAAGUUCCAAUCUGUUUGACUGGGAAUUCCAACGCCGUUGUUCUACUUUACCUUGAGGAUUUAAGGUAAAAGUCGCGGGAGACUUGUCUGAAAAAAAUAGUUCCGAAGUCCCGUUCUCUUCUUUCAUCUGAAACCCAUCCCCGGAGUUAGUUGAAGCUAUCCUUGGUAAACCAAGGAAGUCUAUGCCAUCCCAGGGACCAGUUCGAAAGUAAGGACGAUUUUCUUUCCACACAAAUACUUCAGUUACGUUACGGGCUUCAAGACCGCAAGAAAAUUCUCCAUAAGAUGGAUCAGAUGCACUUUUCCAAGAUGAUGUUGGAAACUCUGCCACACGGAUACUCCUGUAAUUCCAUCAGCAAGGAUUAGGUUGCCGGAAUCCAAGAGUUGAGCACUGGAGUUUGAGGCAACUUGUGAGACGUUUGUUGACCAAAGAACCUGUUUUUGACCAUUCAAAACAACAAGAUUGCCAUUUUCUGAUAUUGUCAGAAUUCCCAAAGAAUCUAUUAGUGGGUUGUUUCUGUUAGCAACCCAAACAAUGGAGGAUUUGGACAUGUACCAAAUUCCCAUGUAGCGAUUAGUGGAAUUUUGAGGACUGAAGAAUCCUAGUGUGAACAUGUUAUUACUUGAGCUCACUGUUUCAGGUUCUUGGAUCGACAUAGAUGAUGCAAUGGUGUCCAAGGCACAUACCACAAGAGUUGAAGAGAACAAACGUACAAGGAAAGCAAGUAACAAGACUUUAUUGAAUCCCAUGAAGAACAUUGAUUUCGAAGUGCUGUGAAGGAUAACCCCGUAUAAUAUACUGUAUUUCGAACUAUUUACCUUUUCUUAAACUGCGACUUCACUGGAGGAAGAACAAAACCUGCAACAAUCUGGAACUUCGACUUCACUUGGUCGCCAUUCUUAUUGUACAACCAUUGAAUCUUCUCAUUCAUCAAUCAUAUACUCCCUCCGGUCUCAUUUAUAAGUUUAAUUUUAGAAGGUGUAUUUGGUCUCAUUUAUAAAUCAUGGUGCGUCUUUUUAAAUAAUAUUUGAGAGGUAUUUCCAAAAUUACCCUUCAUGAGAGAGAAAAAGUAAUAGUACAUUACUUUUUAAAUUUGUUAUAUAGGGACAUGUUUGGAAUUUUACUUAUUUUUAUUCCUUGUAUUUUUGUUGUAUUGGUAUUGAUGAGAUUAGUAGAAAUGACUUAUAAAUAGGAUCGGAGGGAGUAGUCUUCUAAAAAGUUAUAAACAAUAGAAUUUUGACAAAUAUACUUUCCUCUGCGGUCGUGGGCCUUGUUACUGACAUCUUAUCAUAGGAUUUUAUUGAUCUUGCUGUCAGUAGUUCUGUCUAUGGCUCUUCAUCUAUCAAAUAUCAAAACUAGUUCAAGCAGUUUAAACUAGCUUAUUUUGGUAGAAUAGCCAAUCUAUGUUGCAUGGUCUAUUCAAUUAUCUUGUAGAUAGAUUCGAGAUGAUGACGUGCAAAUUAUUUGACCAGAACAUGAAAGUUACGUUCCAAGAAA